CCUACGGGUGGCAGCAGUGGGGAAUAUUGGACAAUGGGGGGAACCCUGAUCCAGCCAUGCCGCGUGUGUGAAGAAGGCCCUCGGGUUGUAAAGCACUGUCAGUGAGGAAGAACGCCUGGUGGUUAAUACCCAUCAGGAAAGACAUCACUCACAGAAGAAGCACCGGCUAACUCCGUGCCAGCAGCCGCGGUAAUACGGAGGGUGCGAGCGUUAAUCGGAAUUACUGGGCGUAAAGCGCGCGUAGGUGGCUUGAUAAGCCGGUUGUGAAAGCCCCGGGCUCAACCUGGGAACGGCAUCCGGAACUGUCAAGCUAGAGUGCAGGAGAGGAAGGUAGAAUUCCCGGUGUAGGGGUGAAAUGCGUAGGGAUCGGGAGGAAUACCAGUGGCGAAGGCGGCCUUCUGGACUGACACUGACACUGAGGUGCGAAAGCGUGGGUAGCAAACAGGAUUAGAUACCCUAGUAGUC
rnacentral:rRNA from 1 species